GAUGAACGCUGGCGGCGUGCCUAAUACAUGCAAGUCGAGCGAACGGACGAGAAGCUUGCUUCUCUGAUGUUAGCGGCGGACGGGUGAGUAACACGUGGAUAACCUACCUAUAAGACUGGGAUAACUUCGGGAAACCGGAGCUAAUACCGGAUAAUAUUUUGAACCGCAUGGUUCAAAAGUGAAAGACGGUCUUGCUGUCACUUAUAGAUGGAUCCGCGCUGCAUUAGCUAGUUGGUAAGGUAACGGCUUACCAAGGCAACGAUGCAUAGCCGACCUGAGAGGGUGAUCGGCCACACGGGAACUGAGACACGGUCCAGACUCCUACGGGGGGCAGCAGUAGGGAAUCUUCCGCAAGGGGCGAAAGCCUGACGGAGCAACGCCGCGUGGGUGAUGAAGGUCUUCGGAUCGUAAAACUCUUUUAUUAGGGAAAAACAUUUGUGUAAGUAACUGUGCACAUCUUGACGGUACCUAAGCAAAAAGCCACGGCUAACUACGU
rnacentral:rRNA from 1 species